AGCAUGCGCAGCGUAUACUGCAGUCGAGCGAGGGUUUUCAAGACCCUACCGGCGGAGGGGUGAUUAACAGUUAGGCAACCGGCUUCUCAAACGGGAAUACCUAAGGGAACCUUAUGCUAUUACCGAAAAGGUUUUUGAAUUGCUGAAUCCAAAAAAAAAAAAUGGCUUUUGCCUUUCAUGGGGAAAUGGGCCUGCGGCGCAUUACCUAUUUGGGGGGGUAACGGCCUACCAGGGCAACAAUCCGUACCCAACCUGAAAGGGUGACCGGCCACCCGGGAACGGAAACACGGCCCAAACCCCUACGGGAGGCACCAUUAGGGAAUUUUCCCCAAGGGACAAAAUUCUAAGGGAGCACCCCCCCGGGACGGAUGAGGGCCUUCGGAUUGUAAAUUUCUUUUGUCAGGAACAAACCCGUCCCGUUCAAUGAGGCGGUUACCUUGACGGUCCCGGACGAGAAACCCACGGCAAAUUACGUGCCAGCGCCGGCGGUAAUAGUUAGGGGGCAACGUUUGCCCGGAUUUUUGGGCCGUAAACCCCCCGCAGGCGCCUAUUUAAGUCUGUUGUUAAGGCCCGGACUCCAGCUCCGGUUCGCACCGAAACCUGUGUACUUUGAGUGCAAAAAAGGAAUGCGGUUUUCCAGUUGUACCGGUGAAAUGCGUAAAGAUUUGCAGAACAACCAUUGGCGAUGGCGGCUUUCUGGGUUCGUAACUGACGCUAACGCCCCGAACGCGUGGUGAAGCACACAGAGAUUAGAUACCCCUCGUUUUCCAUGCCCGUACACAAUGACUGCUAUGGUGUUGGGGCGUUUCAAUAACCCUCAGUGCCGCAGCUGAACGCAAUACAGCACUCCUCCCUGAGGAGUACCGUCGCAAGAGUGCAACCUCAUAGCAUUGACGGGGUCCGCCACAUGCGGUGGAGCUUGGUGCUUAAUUUCGCAGCACGCGCAGACCCUUACAUGUCAUGACGUCCGCUGACGGCUCUGAGCACUGAGCUUCCCUCAGUCCGCGUGACUAGUGCGCAUGCUAUCGUCGCUUCGUCCUGACAUGCUAGCUUAAGUCCCACGACGUCACGUAUCUUAGUGCUGCAUCACUUGGCACUUGAGACUGCGUCACGUGACUACGAUCGAUCGUACUCACUAUCGCCAUGGACUGCUCACGUCCAAGUGUGUCAUAUGACCUGGGCUACACACGUGCUACAAUGGUUGGUACAACGGGAUGCUACCUCCCGAGGGGACGCCAAUCUCUGAAAACCCAUCUCAGUUCGGAUUGUAGGCUGCAACUUGCCUACAUGAAGUCGGAAUCGCUAGUAAUCGCGGAUCAGCAUGCCGCGGUGAAUACGUUCCCGGGCCUUGUACACACCGCCCGUCACACCACGGGAGUUUGCAACACCCGAAGUCUGGUGAGGUACACCGCAAGGAGCCAGCCGCCGUAUAGGUGUUUCGUCUCGUG
rnacentral:rRNA from 1 species